AACUACAGCCAUGCUACUCUGAACAAGCCUAAUUCUGUCUGAUCUCAGAAGCUAAGCAGGGUCGGGCCUGGUUAGUACUUGUAUGGGAGACCACCUACGAAGACCUGGGUGCUGUAAGAG
rnacentral:rRNA from 1 species